GACGAACCGUGCGAACGUUGUUCGGAAUCACUGGGCUUAAAGGGCGCGUAGGCGGGUGCUCAAGUCCGUGGUGAAAUCCUCCGGCUCAACCGCAGAACUGCUUGGUAUACUGGGUCGCUUGAGCCAUCCAGGGGCAACUGGAACAAGCGGUGGAGCGGUGAAAUGCGUAGAUAUCGCUUGGAACGCCAAAGGUGAAAACAGGUUGCUGGGGAUGCGCUGACACUGAGACGCGAAAGCCAGGGGAGCGAACGGG
rnacentral:rRNA from 1 species